rnacentral:tRNA from 1 species
GGGCCCGUAGCGCAGCCUGGAUAGCGCGGCAGCCUUCUAAGCUGUAGGUCACGGGUUCAAAUCCCGUCGGGCCCG